rnacentral:Y_RNA from 1 species
GGCUGGUCCGAAGAUAGUGAGUUACCUUACUUGAUUAUUCAUAGUCAGUUACAGAUCAAACUCCUUGUUCUACUAAUUUCCCCCUUUCUCACUACUGUACUUGACUAGUCUUCA